rnacentral:rRNA from 1 species
AUUGAACGCUGGCGGCAUGCUUUACACAUGCAAGUCGAACGGUAACAGGUUAAGCUGACGAGUGGCGAACGGGUGAGUAAUGCAUCGGAACGUGCCCGAUCGUGGGGGAUAACGCAGCGAAAGCUGCGCUAAUACCGCAUACGAUCUGAGGAUGAAAGCGGGGGACCGUAAGGCCUCGCGCGAUCGGAGCGGCCGAUGUCAGAUUAGGUAGUUGGUGGGGUAAAGGCCCACCAAGCCGACGAUCUGUAGCUGGUCUGAGAGGACGACCAGCCACACUGGGACUGAGACACGGCCCAGACUCCUACGGGAGGCAGCAGUGGGGAAUUUUGGACAAUGGGCGAAAGCCUGAUCCAGCAAUGCCGCGUGCAGGAAGAAGGCCUUCGGGUUGUAAACUGCUUUUGUACGGAGCGAAAAGGUCCUUUCUAAUACAAGGGGCUUAUGACGGUACCGUAAGAAUAAGCACCGGCUAACUACGUGCCAGCAGCCGCCGUAAAAC